AAGUGAUCCUCAGAAGAGAGCCAUAUAUGAUCAAUAUGCUGAAGAAUGUCUCAAAGGACAAGUGCCACCCCCUGAUGCAGCAGGGGGAUUCCCUGGUGGUGGUGCUACUUUCUUUCAAACUAGGGAUGGUCCAAAUGUGUUUAGAUUCAACCCCAGGAACGCCAAUGACAUUUUUGCAGAGUUUUUUGGGUCUUAUUACAAAGAACUUAAAUGUAUACAAUUUCAUUAGUGUUAGAGCUCAUGAAGUUAGUUAUUUACUGAUUAGUGGUGCCUUCCUAAAUAUACAAUCGAAGAUAUAUUUAAUAGAGAUUGACCUUGCUGUAUUCACCUUUAUAUUAUGCGUUUUCUAUUCCCCGAUUGUUGUGAUUGAUCUAUUUCCACUGAUUAUUUUUUUUUCUUUACUGACUGCAGUGUUGGACACAAGAGAGUGGUCAUUCUUGAAAAACAACUGGAAAAGAAAGAGCUGAUCUUAAGGUGAAGAGAGCAGUGAUAAUUAUAGCUAUUCUUAUUGGAUUAACUUGUGGGAUGAUUUUAAUUGGCUUUUACAUUUGCAAGUGGAGAGCAUUUUAUGGUUUCUAUGAGGCAGAAAUAAAAUUUUGAAGAGAAAGAGAAAGAUAUCUGGCUGGCUGGCUGGUAUGAGGUAGAUAAAGUGCGUGGUCACCAUUUGCUUCAUGGAUAACUGGCUGAUUAUUAGCCAAGUUGGACAAAAACGGGGUAGAUUGAAUAUUGAGGAAGAUGAUGAUGGGCAACCAAGGAAGAAGGUUCAUCUAGGUGUUCCAGCGACACAAUGGAUUUCAGUUUACAAUGCUCGCCAGCCAAUGAAAC